ACAUACGAUCACAGGGUGUGGAAAACAGGGCUUCCCGUCCGCUCAGCCGUACUUAAGCCACACGCCGGUGAGUUAGUAGUUGGGUGGCUGACCACCAGCGAAUCCUCACUGUUGUAUGUUU
rnacentral:rRNA from 1 species